GGUCGGAUAAGGCGCUCGCGCCGCAUCCGACACCAUGCUCAGAUGCCUGAUGCGACGCUGACGCGUCUUAUCAGGCC
rfam:Trichuris trichiura, WGS project CBXK01000000 data, contig: TTRE_882